rnacentral:rRNA from 1 species
UACGUAGGGUGCGAGCGUUGUCCGGAAUUAUUGGGCGUAAAGAGCUCGUAGGCGGUCUGUCGCGUCUGCUGUGAAAUCCCGAGGCUCAACCUCGGGCCUGCAGUGGGUACGGGCAGACUAGAGUGCGGUAGGGGAGAUUGGAAUUCCCGGUGUAGCGGUGGAAUGCGUAGAGAUCGGGAGGAACACCAGUGGCGAAGGCGGUGGCCUGGACCGAUGCUGACGCUGAGGCGCGAAAGCGUGGGGAGCGAUCCGG